UACGUAGGGGGCGAGCGUUGUCCGGAUUUAUUGGGCGUAAAGAGCUCGUAGGCGGUUGGGUAAGUCGGGGGUGAAAACUCAGGGCUCAACUCUGAGACGUCACUCGAUACUGCUCUGACUCGAGUCCGGUAGGGGAGCGUGGAAUUCCCGGUGUAGAGGUGAAAUGCGCAGAUAUCGGGAGGAACACCAGUGGCGAAGGCGGCGCUCUGGGCCGGAACUGACGCUGAGGAGCGAAAGCGUGGGUAGCAAACAGG
rnacentral:rRNA from 1 species